rnacentral:tRNA from 1 species
GGGGAUUUAGCUCAGAGGCAUAAGCGCCUGCCUUGCAAGCAGGCAGUUGUGAUUCCCCG